rnacentral:rRNA from 1 species
GUGUCAGCAGCCGCGGUAAUACAUAGAGUGCAAGCGUUAUCCGGAAUAAUUGGGCGUAAAGCGUCUGUAGGUGGUUUAAAAAGUCCAAUGUCAAAUACGAUGGCUCAACCAACGGCAGGCAUUGGAGUACUAUUAAACUAGAGUUUGGUAGAGGUAGAGGGAAUCCCUAGCGUAACAGUGAAAUGUGUAGAUUUUAGGGAGAACACCAGCGGCGAAGGCGCUCUACUGGGCCAAUACUGACACUGAGAGACGAAAGCUAAGGGAGCGAAAAGGAUUAGAUACCCUUGUAGUCC